GACGAACGCUGGCGGCGUGCUUAACACAUGCAAGUCGAACGGAAAGGCCCUGCUUUUGUGGGGUGCUCGAGUGGCGAACGGGUGAGUAACAAGUGAGUAACCUGCCCUUGACUUUGGGAUAACUUCAGGAAACUGGGGCUAAUACCGGAUAGGAGCUCCUGCUGCAUGGUGGGGGUUGGAAAGUUUCGGCGGUUGGGGAUGGACUCGCGGCUUAUCAGCUUGUUGGUGGGGUAGUGGCUUACCAAGGCUUUGACGGGUAGCCGGCCUGAGAGGGUGACCGGCAACAUUGGGACUGAGAUACGGCCCAGACUCCUACGGGAGGCAGCAGUGGGGAAUAUUGCACAAUGGGCGGAAGCCUGAUGCAGCAACGCCGCGUGCGGGAUGACGGCCUUCGGGUUGUAAACCGCUUUCGCCUGUGACGAAGCGUGAGUGACGGUAAUGGGUAAAGAAGCACCGGCUAACUACGUG
rnacentral:rRNA from 1 species